UGGGGAAUUUUGCACAAUGGGGGAAACCCUGAUGCAGCGACGCCGCGUGAUUUAGAAGGCCUUCGGGUUGUAAAAAUCUUUUUUACGGGAUGAAAAUGACAGUACCGUAAGAAUAAGGUCCGGCUAAAUACGUGCCAGCAGCCGCGGUAAUACGUAUGGACCGAGCGUUGUCCGUAAUCAUUGGGCGUAAAGGGUACGUAGGCGGCCUAGUAAGUUAGAAGUGAAAUAAUAUAGCUCAACUAUAUAAAGCUUUUAAAACUGCUAGGCUUGAGAGAUGGAAGGGAAAGUGGAAUUCCUAGUGUAGCGGUGAAAUGCGCAGAUAUUAGGAAGAAUACCGGUGGCGAAGGCGACUUUCUGGUCAUCAUCUGACGCUGAGGUACGAAAGCGUGGGUAGCAAACAGG
rnacentral:rRNA from 1 species